AUACAGAGGGUGCGAGCGUUAAUCGGAAUUACUGGGCGUAAAGCGCGCGUAGGCGGCUACUUAAGUCAGAUGUGAAAUCCCCGGGCUCAACCUGGGAACUGCAUCUGAUACUGGGUAGCUAGAGUUUUGGAGAGGGAAGUAGAAUUUCAGGUGUAGCGGUGAAAUGCAUAGAGAUCUGAAGGAAUACCAGUGGCGAAGGCGACUUCCUGGCCAAAAACUGACGCUGAGGUGCGAAAGCGUGGGUAGCAAACAGGAUUAGAAACCCCAGUAGUCC
rnacentral:rRNA from 1 species